UAGGGUUUGGUUUAGAGUUUAAGGUUUGUAUUAGGGUUUGGUUAGGGUUUGGUUUAGGAUUUAGGGUUUGUAUUAGGGUUUGGUUAGGAUUUGAAUUAAGAUUUGGUUUAGAGUUUGGUUAGGAUUUGAUUUAGGAUUUAGGAUUUGGUUAAGAUUUGAUUUAGGGUUUGAUUUAGGAUUUGGUUGGAUUUUGGUUUAAGAUUUGUUUAGGGUUUGAUUUAGGUUUUAGAAUUUUAUUAGGAUUUAAGAUUUAAUUAGGUUUGGCUUGAAGUUUGAAUGAAGUUCAAUAAGAUUUUAAUUAGAAUUAAAUUAAGAUUGAGUUGAGUUGUAUUUGAAUGAUAAUUGUGAUCCUUCUAAUAUUUCUUUAAGAAUUUUUAUUGUUUGAUAGAAAUUUCUUUGAAAUUUUUUCGAAUUUGAUU
rnacentral:lncRNA from 1 species